rnacentral:lncRNA from 1 species
AAGAUCUCUGCGUAAAAGACUCAGAGAUAUCAGGCUAUCCAGUCUGAUCACAAGUGACAGAGUCUUCCUAUGUAGUCCAGGCUGGCCUGGAACUUGCAAUCUUCCUGCCUCAGGCUCCUGAGUACUGGGAUUGUAGGCAUGUGCUACCAUGCCCUGCUGAAAAAUUGGCUUCUUCUUCUUUACCUACAUCUUGCCUGAUUUGCUUUGUGGUCAUAAAUGGAAAAUGUGCUGGCCAGCUGAAUUUUAAGCAAGAACAACAAUUUUCCUAUAUGAUUUGACAUGGACCUUAAAGAGUCAUUGUGCCUAGAAAAACAAAGUUGCUGUAACUUGGGUACUGGGGGAAGAAGAGGCAGAAAGUCUGGGUCUCCUCUCCAGUUAAUGGUAAUUUUGACUUUAAAAGCUAUAAGAAAAACUGAUGCCUGGAAAAGUCAGAGGGUUACUCCAGUUCAGACAGCAGCUCAAUAGCAGAAUCAAGAACAAACCUCCCCUCUCAGCCCUCUCUGGUAUGGGUCUUUGCACAGCCCCAGCCUUGAGGGUGUGGGGAUAAUUCCUACAUCUAGGACUCAGCUGGCACGUAUAGAAAGAGAUGCUGCAUGUCAAUGCCACUGUCCUCUUCACAUUCAGAAUGGGAGCUUCUCUGACACCUCAAAUCUCCAGUGUUUAUCUAUUUUAUAUCCAAUACUCACAUUGCUGGCUUGUGAACUUGUUAUCCUUGGAAGGUCACAAUUAUCUUUACAUUGUGGGAGGAACUCUGGGGAAUAAGCUUUUUAAUAUUCACAGAGCAAUUUGCAGAUACUCAGCUUAGUCAUGAAGUCUGCUUAAUGAUGUUGAUCAUAAAAGUCUGGGUAGUCUAUAAAAGUCUGGGUAGUCUAUUUCUAAGCUGUCAUCCAGGCUGACUAAAUGAUCCACUUUACCUCUGGCCUGAACUCCAAGAAUAGUUGGAGUUUGGGUCCACACCAUAUAGCUAUAGUCAGCUAGACUUUGCCUCAGCACUAUCAACAUUUGGUCAGAUUGCCAGGGAUUUAGCUCAAUGGUUUCGCCGCCUGCUGUGGAAGCACAAAGACCCCAGUUUGAUCCCUG